UUGGUGUAACGGGGAUUCAAACCCGCGACCCUCAGAUUGCGAGUCGAGUGCCGUAACCACCUGGCCAUGCCGGGCACUAAGCCACUAAUAGAGGCUGCUUAUUAAGAAGAAAGGUCAACUGUUUGGCGUCCAAUUUGGGAAGUCGAACAGAUUCUUCAAGAAGAAAAAGUUAUAAAGGAGAUCAAAAGUGCAAGCUGUACAAAACAUGCCUCAGUCGUCAGUGAGGCAGCAGCAUCCAAUGAAAGAAAUAUUAAAAUGUGGCAGAGAACUUCUGAUGAAAACUAUAUCGACAGUGUUAUACGUCAACGUGAGAGAACUAGGCUUCGUCCAGUAAUGUAUGAAAAAAUUUGGAAAGCUCAUUUUACAUUUCACUAUCUUGCUGACGACAGUUCAUUUAUGAAGCUUAUUGUUGAUUGAGAACUGGAUUUAUCCAAGAAACGUAAAAUAACAAAUCCAUGGGAAGGAGGUUCCUCUGUGGGGCGUUAGAUAUCGGGGUUUUCUUCAAAAAUAAACAUUUUAAAAGCUGAAGAAGAUCUUAUCUUUUCAAUUUACAAACAUGGCAAAAAAGGUGAUUAAGUUUAUUGAGAAAAUCUUAUGAGUUUAGUUUAUUCGUGCAAAAUUCUGGUUUGGCCAGAUCUACCUUUGUUAGCAUUUUAGUAU